AUACUUUGAGCGAGGCGGAACUCUUCCCUUGCUUGCUUCAUCUCGCCUAUAGUUCUCUAGUAUAGCAUUCUUUCCUUUCUUUUGCUUUAGUAAGAAGCGUUAGUCACAAGGCUUGUUCAAACUAAAGACUACCACACAAGCCCAUUGCCGGCUAAACCUACCCAUGGUAGUGCCCCUUUCUCUUUCCAUCAGAGAUCCAU
rnacentral:lncRNA from 1 species